GGGGAGCAUGUGGGUUUAUUCGGAGAUACGCGAAGAACCUUACCUAGCCUUGACAUAUUGGAGGACUCCGUAGAGAUACAGAGGUGCUUUCGGGGAGCUCAUAUACAGGUGGCUGCACGGCUGUCGUCAGCUCGGUGUCGUGAGAUGUUGGGGUUAAGUCCCGCUUACGAGCGCAACCCUCGUCACUAGUUACUUAACGGUUCGGCCGAGGACUCUAGUGAGACUGCCUUCGGUAAGGAGGAGGAAGGUGAGGACGACGUCAAGUCAUCAUGGCCCUUACGGCUAGGGGCAACACACGUGCUACAAUGGCCAGGACAGUGAGAAGCGAUACCGCGAGGUGGAGCAAAUCUAUAAACCUGGUCUCAGUUCGGAUUGUAGUCUGCAACUCGACUACAUGAAGCUGGGAAUCACUAGUAAUCGUAGAUCAGCUAUGCUACGGUGAAUACGUUCCCGGGUCUUGUACUCACCGCCCGUUCACACCAUGGGAGUUGGAUUUUCACCCGGAAGCGGGGAAGCUAAACUGGCUACCCUCCACGGUGGAAUCAGCCGACUGGGGUGAAGUCGUUAUACAAGGGUUA
rnacentral:rRNA from 1 species